GGGUUGUGAGGUUAAGCGACUAAGCGUACACGGUGGAUGCCCUGGCAGUCAGAGGCGAUGAAGGACGUGCUAAUCUGCGAUAAGCGUCGGUAAGGUGAUAUGAACCGUUAUAACCGGCGAUUUCCGAAUGGGGAAACCCAGUGUGAUUCGUCACACUAUCAUUAACUGAAUCCAUAGGUUAAUGAGGCGAACCGGGGGAACUGAAACAUCUAAGUACCCCGAGGAAAAGAAAUCAACCGAGAUUCCCCCAGUAGCGGCGAGCGAACGGGGAGCAGCCCAGAGCCUGAAUCAGUGUGUGUGUUAGUGGAAGCGUCUGGAAAGGCGUGCGAUACAGGGUGACAGCCCCGUACACAAAAAUGCACAUACUGUGAGCUCGAUGAGUAGGGCGGGACACGUGGUAUCCCGUCUGAAUAUGGGGGGACCAUCCUCCAAGGCUAAAUACUCCUGACUGACCGAUAGUGAACCAGUACCGUGAGGGAAAGGCGAAAAGAACCCCGGCGAGGGGAGUGAAAAAGAACCUGAAACCGUGUACGUACAAGCAGUGGGAGCACGCUUAGGCGUGUGACUGCGUACCUUUUGUAUAAUGGGUCAGCGACUUAUAUUCUGUAGCAAGGUUAACCGAAUAGGGGAGCCGAAGGGAAACCGAGUCUUAACUGGGCGUUAAGUUGCAGGGUAUAGACCCGAAACCCGGUGAUCUAGCCAUGGGCAGGUUGAAGGUUGGGUAACACUAACUGGAGGACCGAACCGACUAAUGUUGAAAAAUUAGCGGAUGACUUGUGGCUGGGGGUGAAAGGCCAAUCAAACCGGGAGAUAGCUGGUUCUCCCCGAAAGCUAUUUAGGUAGCGCCUCGUGAAUUCAUCUCCGGGGGUAGAGCACUGUUUCGGCAAGGGGGUCAUCCCGACUUACCAACCCGAUGCAAACUGCGAAUACCGGAGAAUGUUAUCACGGGAGACACACGGCGGGUGCUAACGUCCGUCGUGAAGAGGGAAACAACCCAGACCGCCAGCUAAGGUCCCAAAGUCAUGGUUAAGUGGGAAACGAUGUGGGAAGGCCCAGACAGCCAGGAUGUUGGCUUAGAAGCAGCCAUCAUUUAAAGAAAGCGUAAUAGCUCACUGGUCGAGUCGGCCUGCGCGGAAGAUGUAACGGGGCUAAACCAUGCACCGAAGCUGCGGCAGCGACGCUUAUGCGUUGUUGGGUAGGGGAGCGUUCUGUAAGCCUGUGAAGGUGUGCUGUGAGGUAUGCUGGAGGUAUCAGAAGUGCGAAUGCUGACAUAAGUAACGAUAAAGCGGGUGAAAAGCCCGCUCGCCGGAAGACCAAGGGUUCCUGUCCAACGUUAAUCGGGGCAGGGUGAGUCGACCCCUAAGGCGAGGCCGAAAGGCGUAGUCGAUGGGAAACAGGUUAAUAUUCCUGUACUUGGUGUUACUGCGAAGGGGGGACGGAGAAGGCUAUGUUGGCCGGGCGACGGUUGUCCCGGUUUAAGCGUGUAGGCUGGUUUUCCAGGCAAAUCCGGAAAAUCAAGGCCGAGGCGUGAUGACGAGGCACUACGGUGCUGAAGCAACAAAUGCCCUGCUUCCAGGAAAAGCCUCUAAGCAUCAGGUAACAUCAAAUCGUACCCCAAACCGACACAGGUGGUCAGGUAGAGAAUACCAAGGCGCUUGAGAGAACUCGGGUGAAGGAACUAGGCAAAAUGGUGCCGUAACUUCGGGAGAAGGCACGCUGAUACGUAGGUGAAGCGACUUGCUCGUGGAGCUGAAAUCAGUCGAAGAUACCAGCUGGCUGCAACUGUUUAUUAAAAACACAGCACUGUGCAAACACGAAAGUGGACGUAUACGGUGUGACGCCUGCCCGGUGCCGGAAGGUUAAUUGAUGGGGUUAGCGCAAGCGAAGCUCUUGAUCGAAGCCCCGGUAAACGGCGGCCGUAACUAUAACGGUCCUAAGGUAGCGAAAUUCCUUGUCGGGUAAGUUCCGACCUGCACGAAUGGCGUAAUGAUGGCCAGGCUGUCUCCACCCGAGACUCAGUGAAAUUGAACUCGCUGUGAAGAUGCAGUGUACCCGCGGCAAGACGGAAAGACCCCGUGAACCUUUACUAUAGCUUGACACUGAACAUUGAGCCUUGAUGUGUAGGAUAGGUGGGAGGCUUUGAAGUGUGGACGCCAGUCUGCAUGGAGCCGACCUUGAAAUACCACCCUUUAAUGUUUGAUGUUCUAACGUGGACCCGUGAUCCGGGUUGCGGACAGUGUCUGGUGGGUAGUUUGACUGGGGCGGUCUCCUCCUAAAGAGUAACGGAGGAGCACGAAGGUUGGCUAAUCCUGGUCGGACAUCAGGAGGUUAGUGCAAUGGCAUAAGCCAGCUUGACUGCGAGCGUGACGGCGCGAGCAGGUGCGAAAGCAGGUCAUAGUGAUCCGGUGGUUCUGAAUGGAAGGGCCAUCGCUCAACGGAUAAAAGGUACUCCGGGGAUAACAGGCUGAUACCGCCCAAGAGUUCAUAUCGACGGCGGUGUUUGGCACCUCGAUGUCGGCUCAUCACAUCCUGGGGCUGAAGUAGGUCCCAAGGGUAUGGCUGUUCGCCAUUUAAAGUGGUACGCGAGCUGGGUUUAGAACGUCGUGAGACAGUUCGGUCCCUAUCUGCCGUGGGCGCUGGAGAACUGAGGGGGGCUGCUCCUAGUACGAGAGGACCGGAGUGGACGCAUCACUGGUGUUCGGGUUGUCAUGCCAAUGGCACUGCCCGGUAGCUAAAUGCGGAAGAGAUAAGUGCUGAAAGCAUCUAAGCACGAAACUUGCCCCGAGAUGAGUUCUCCCUGACCCUUUAAGGGUCCUGAAGGAACGUUGAAGACGACGACGUUGAUAGGCCGGGUGUGUAAGCGCAGCGAUGCGUUGAGCUAACCGGUACUAAUGAACCGUGAGGCUUAACCUUACAACGCCGAAG
rnacentral:rRNA from 1 species